GAUGAACGCUGGCGGCGUGCCUAAUACAUGCAAGUCGAGCGAACGGACGAGAAGCUUGCUUCUCUGAUGUUAGCGGCGGACGGGUGAGUAACACGUGGAUAACCUACCUAUAAGACUGGGAUAACUUCGGGAAACCGGAGCUAAUACCGGAUAAUAUUUUGAACCGCAUGGUUCAAAAGUGAAAGACGGUCUUGCUGUCACUUAUAGAUGGAUCCGCGCUGCAUUAGCUAGUUGGUAAGGUAACGGCUUACCAAGGCAACGAUGCAUAGCCGACCUGAGAGGGUGAUCGGCCACACUGGAACUGAGACACGGUCCAGACUCCUACGGGAGGCAGCAGUAGGGAAUCUUCCGCAAUGGGCGAAAGCCUGACGGAGCAACGCCGUGUGAGUGAUGAAGGUCUUCGGAUCGUAAAACUCUGUUAUUAUGGAAGAACAUAUGUGUAAGUAACUGUGCACAUCUUGACGGUACCUAAUCAGAAAGCCACGGCUAACUACGUG
rnacentral:rRNA from 1 species